rnacentral:rRNA from 1 species
UAGUCAUAUGCUUGUCUCAAAGAUUAAGCCAUGCAUGUCUAAGUAUAAGCACUUUAUACUGUGAAACUGCGAAUGGCUCAUUAAAUCAGUUAUGGUUUAUUUGAUAAUCGCAUUUACAUGGAUAACCGUAGUAAUUAUAGAGCUAAUACAUGCUGUUUGCCCGACUUUAUGGAAGGGCCGUAUUUAUUAGAUAACAAACCAAUAUUCCUCCGGGUCUAUUGUGGUGAAUCAUAAUAACUGAUCGAAUCGCAUGGGCUUUGCCCCGAUAAAUCAUUCAAGUUUCUGCCCCAUCAGCUUUCGAUGGUAGUGUAUUGGACUACCAUGGCUUUCACGGGUGACGGAGGAUUAGGGUUCGAUUCCGGAGAGGGAGCCUGAGAAACGGCUACCACAUCUAUGGAAGGCAGCAGGCGCGUAAAUUACCCAAUCCUGAUUCAGGGAGGUAGUGACAAGAAAUAACGGCCCGAGGAUUUCCUCGGGACUUGCAAUGAGGACAAUUUAAACCCUUUACCGAGGAUCAAUU